GAAAAUCGAUAUGAAUUUGGUCAGAAAUAAGUGGAUGACAAAGAACGGCCGCAAAUGCUGCGAAAUAAUAUGAUUAAAUUAUUAGUUUGCUGGUGGAUUACUUAGAAGGUCAAAAACAAUGCGAUAUUAGGGUAGGUUCAAUCGGACCCUCUGCUAGCACCUAGCAAUCUACAAAAUCAAGCAGUUAACGAAUCUGUGGUGACAAAUUUUUUCAACAAAACAGCACUAGCAGUCGACAAGAUUUUUAUUAUUAUUAUUAUUAUUUUUGCCCCGUCUUGCUCCAGACCUCUAUUGCUUCACACUUGUAGCAUAUUUCAUCUUACCAAUGAAUAAAACGGGUAGUAUAUAUAAUAUCUUUUUUUCAAAAAAAAAAGUUUAAUUU
rnacentral:lncRNA from 1 species